UACGUACUGCGCGAACGUUAUUCGGAAUCACUGGGCUUACAGGGUGCGUAGGCGGCUUUUCAGGUCUGGUGUGAAAUCCCCCGGCUCAACCGGGGAAUGGCAUUGGAAACCGAAAGGCUUGAGGUAGCUAGAGGCAUGCGGAACUUCCGGUGGAGCGGUGAAAUGUGUUGAGAUCGGAAGGAACACCAGAGGCGAAAGCGGCAUGCUGGGGCUAUUCUGACGCUGAGGCACGAAAGCCAGGGGAGCGAAC
rnacentral:rRNA from 1 species